GGGAAACUCACCAGGUCCAGACAAAAUAAGGAUUGACAGAUUGAGAGCUCUUUCUUGAUCUUUUGGAUGGUGGUGCAUGGCCGUUCUUAGUUGGUGGAGUGAUUUGUCUGCUUAAUUGCGAUAACGAACGAGACCUCGGCCCUUAAAUAGCCCGGUCCGCAUUUGCGGGCCGCUGGCUUCUUAAGGGGACUAUCGGCUCAAGCCGAUGGAAGUGCGCGGCAAUAA
rnacentral:rRNA from 1 species